CCUAACACAUGCAAGUCGAGCGGAUGACGGGAGCUUGCUCCUGGAUUCAGCGGCGGACGGGUGAGUAAUGCCUAGGAAUCUGCCUGGUAGUGGGGGACAACGUUUCGAAAGGAACGCUAAUACCGCAUACGUCCUACGGGAGAAAGCAGGGGACCUUCGGGCCUUGCGCUAUCAGAUGAGCCUAGGUCGGAUUAGCUUGUUGGUGAGGUAAUGGCUCACCAAGGCGACGAUCCGUAACUGGUCUGAGAGGAUGAUCAGUCACACUGGAACUGAGACACGGUCCAGACUCCUACGGGAGGCAGCAGUGGGGAAUAUUGGACAAUGGGCGAAAGCCUGAUCCAGCCAUGCCGCGUGUGUGAAGAAGGUCUUCGGAUUGUAAAGCACUUUAAGUUGGGAGGAAGGGUUGUAGAUUAAUACUCUGCAAUUUUGACGUUACCGACAGAAUAAGCACCGGCUAACUCUGUGCCAGCAGCCGCGGUAAUACAGAGGGUGCAAGCGUUAAUCGGAAUUACUGGGCGUAAAGCGCGCGUAGGUGGUUUGUUAAGUUGGAUGUGAAAGCCCCGGGCUCAACCUGGGAACUGCAUCCAAAACUGGCAAGCUAGAGUACGGUAGAGGGUGGUGGAAUUUCCUGUGUAGCGGUGAAAUGCGUAGAUAUAGGAAGGAACACCAGUGGCGAAGGCGACCACCUGGACUGAUACUGACACUGAGGUGCGAAAGCGUGGGGAGCAAACAGGAUUAGAUACCCUGGUAGUCCACGCCGUAAACGAUGUCAACUAGCCGUUGGAAUCCUUGAGAUUUUAGUGGCGCAGCUAACGCAUUAAGU
rnacentral:rRNA from 1 species